rnacentral:rRNA from 1 species
UACGUAGGGGGCAAGCGUUGUCCGGAUUUAUUGGGUUUAAAGGGUGCGUAGGCGGCUUUGUAAGUCAGUGGUGAAAUAUGGCAGCUCAACUGUCAGGGUGCCAUUGAUACUGCAGAGCUUGAGUACAGAUGAGGUAGGCGGAAUUGACGGUGUAGCGGUGAAAUGCUUAGAUAUCGUCAAGAACACCGAUAGCGAAGGCAGCUUACUGGGCUGUAACUGACGCUGAGGCACGAAAGUGUGGGGAUCAAACAGG